rnacentral:rRNA from 1 species
GAUGAACGCUGGCGGCGUGCCUAAUACAUGCAAGUCGAGCGAACAGACGAGGAGCUUGCUCCUCUGACGUUAGCGGCGGACGGGUGAGUAACACGUGGAUAACCUACCUAUAAGACGGGGAUAACUUCGGGAAACCGGAGCUAAUACCGGAGAAUAUAUUGAACCGCAUGGUUCAAUAGUGAAAGACGGUUUUGCUGUCACUUAUAGAUGGAUCCGCGCCGCAUUAGCUAGUUGGUAAGGUAACGGCUUACCAAGGCAACGAUGCGUAGCCGACCUGAGAGGGUGAUCGGCCACACUGGAACUGAGACACGGUCCAGACUCCUACGGGAGGCAGCAGUAGGGAAUCUUCCGCAAUGGGCGCAAGCCUGACGGAGCCACGCCGCGUGAGUGAUGAAGGUCUUCGGAUCGUAAAACUCUGUUAUUAGGGAAGAACAACUGUGUAAGUAACUAUGCACGUCUUGACGGUACCUAAUCAGAAAGCCACGGCUAACUACGUG